rnacentral:rRNA from 1 species
GACGAACCGUGCGAACGUUGUUCGGAUUCACUGGGCUUAAAGGGCGCGUAGGCGGGCGACCAAGGCGGGGGUGAAAUCUUUCGGCCCAACCGGAAAAGUGCCCCCGAUACUGGCCGCCUCGAGGGGGGUAGGGGCAUGCGGAACUUCCGGUGGAGCGGUGAAAUGCGUAGAUAUCGGAAGGAACGCCGGUGGCGAAAGCGGCGUGCUGGACCCCUUCUGACGCUGAGGCGCGAAAGCCAGGGGAGCAAACGGG